GCCAUUCUAUGUUUCAUUCUAUGAUUUCUAUGAUUCUCUUGCUUACAGUCAGCUGGUGAGCUUGUCCUGAUGCCUUUGAGCAUAGGAAGUUAAAAGCUGUGUAUAAACAGGAAUGUUUGUGGAACAGGAAGAAAAUUUAGUAAAUGUUGAAGGCUUAUAGACUAAGAGCAGUGAAGCAAUGAAAAUAUUCAGUGCCUGUUCACUUAACAAUUACAAAGGACUGGUGCUGUGUGUGCCUGUCUUGUGAAGGAAACUCACCGCUAGGUGGGGGUGUGCAUCUACUUUAGUAGUACGAUUUCUCAGCCGUGUUUCGAAGGGGCAGGUAGAUAAAGAAGAGGAGGAAGGGAACUGCUUCCACUUUGUCAAUAGGGCAACUCUUGUCUCUGAAGCUGUCGGGAAGUAGCAUGUGGGGAGGAGACAGUGCUGCUUUAGAGAAGACAAUUUAAUGCAUGUAGACAAGUAUGGGUCUUCCUGUAACUGGAGACAGGCAUGCAGAGCCUAGGGAGAGAGGUACUACUAGUUAAAAUAAAGAUGUUUCUAGGAUUUCCACCUGGUUGCCUCAUCAUGCUCUAGCUUUGUCUGUGUGGGGAUGUGCAUUGUCUGUGACAUCCUGAGCAGUCUGAAACCCAGAGAUUUAACGGCAGGGGGUGAAGUCUCUGGCAUUGCUGUAAUUGACACAAGGUUGCAAAGAACUGGGCAGGCUACCUGAGCCACUGAGGUUGUACACUUACAGUCGUGCUGCCUUGCAGACUGGUUACUGCUCUGCAGAACCUCCAACUUUUCACUGGAUCUUCUCACCUGAAGAGAUGAGUAUGGCGGCAAAUCGGCACACCUCCUGCCCCGGGUCCUCCCCGAGGCCUGCAGUGCAGCUAGUUUCCUGCUUAUCCUUACAGCACUACAGAAGCUGAGCUCAAACGGACCUGUCCCACUGAGUUUUUGACCAUCUCUCUGGAUUGAUGGCAAUCCCUGGAACACGGAGAAUUUACUGCAGUGAAUAGAAGGUCUGUCCAAGUCUGUCUGCAGCUGGACUACAAUUGCUUUAUUUUUUUCCUAGCUUUUUGUUCUGAAGAAGGAGCCAAGUCAACCUCGUUGGACUCUUCCCUGGCUGAGCUAAGGUACCAUUUUUAGGACUGCCUUCAGAGCACGCUCUGUAGUGCUUUGGUACUUGGCAGCUGUGUUCAUUCUCAUCUGCUGCUUCAUAGUGUCUGCAUCUCAGAGGCUUGUCCCUUAGGCCACUGGCUGUAAUUAUAAAAGCUUCUGAUCUAGAAAUGAGUGGCACAGUGAUUCAGGUACUGUUAUCAAUAAGUUUUGCAGUGCUGUCAGUACUGGAAGACAAUAUUGUACUGGAGUUCCAUUUUUUUCCUUUAUUUAUUCUUUUUUGAGAGAAAUUUAAAAGUUUUCAUGGUGUUAUUGUAAAGGUGUUUUUUUUUUUUUUUGCCAUUUUGGAACUUGAGUGUGUUGGAGGUCUGGAAACCAGAAGGUAUAGAGAAAGAACAUCUGUUAACGUACAAGUCAGGAUUUGAAGUGAAAUGAGACCUUCUAUCUUCUCUUGAGUUCUUUCUGGAUGACAGCACCAUUCAUUGAAGAAGCUUCAAGUAGACUAAGGAGUUUGGAUAGGAAACUCUCAUGAGAAAACUAAAAAACUGUGGUACCAAUGUGGACAGAGGAUUCAUAUUGCUAAGAAGUUUUCAUGCCUUGCUUUUUUUAACCUGAGUUACCAGAAAUCAUAUCCUACAUGGUCUCUCACUGAUUGCAUGGACAUGAACACCACCUAAGGGUGAGAUUUUUCUUGAUGCUAAUCUAUGAGUCUGCUUUAGUUCUCCAACAUCCAUUUGUGAUCGUCAUCUUGGUGCUCUCAAGUCUCCUUGUUAUGCCUUCACCAGUACUGUGAACCACAAACACAAUGCCUAACAAAAGCUCCAUGGCUGUGGAGGGGCAGCUGGCUGGCAUGUUUUUUCUUCUCUAUGCAGAGCAAGAGUAUUGCUGCUCAGAGAGGAAGCGUACUCCAUCAAAACAUGGCUCUCCUUCCACUGCAGAACAUGGAACUUGCUCUACAAGGAGUUGGAGUGGAGCUCUUCUCACGCCUUUCACAGAUUUUAUGCUAAACAAUUCUGUUGGGUCCAUGGAAAAGCCAAAGGCACUGAUCUUUUGGUUGAUGAUUGCACAGAAGUCUGUGGAGAAGUAGUAUCGUGCUGUUGUGCAAGGUGGGUUCCAUCCUGAGAGCUGCCUUCUGCAAAUCUGGGAUAGUGUUGUUGCAGCAGAUGACUUUUCUUGUUGGUUCCUGGGAACAAGCCUGCCCUGUUACGUGUGACCUUGCCACCUCCCUUGGAGCCUUUCAGGCUGCUUUCCCUCCCAGCUUCUGUUUUUCUGGUAGGCAUUAAAUCAGAGUGGCAGCUGGCCAGCAAUGCCCUUUAAGAACAGUACUUAGUGUAACGUUGUCUUUUUGGCCAACGUUUUUUUAAAUGUACUACACUGCUUUUCUUUAAUAGCCAUAACUGUUGGGAGAAAAAUGCAGAAAUGAAGCAGACUAGGAAGUAUAAACCUAAAUCUGUAGCCUGUGUGAAGUUAUGCAAUGGCGUGAUUUUCAGCAACAAACCUUGUGUGAAGGGCUGAAAUUUCUUUCUUUCUUUCUUUUUUUUUUUUUUAGUAGUAAGAAAGUCGACUGACAAAACCAAAAUGAAGAGAAGAAAAUCAUACUCCCAUAUGAACUGCCAAGAGAGCGCAUAAUAGCUGCACUUAUUUUAUUAGCCUUCUGACCUUUCCUUUCUCUGAUGAGGUUUCUUUUUCCUAUUAGCUCUACUAGGAUGUCUACUGAGAUGGCAACAAAACAAACACUGUUUUUGUUGGCUAAUUUAUCUUUUCUGUGCGCAGGGAUCGCAGACAUGGAGGCCACGAGGCGAUGCCUGCCUUGCAGCAUUCACAAGAACCACCCUGUGCCAUUGGGUACUGGGAAGAACACUGCCGUGUUGAGGGCAACGCAUCCAUGCUCACGCAGCAAUUCAAGUCAUGCUUGACUUGGAGCCUGCAAGCAGUUUCCUUGCCUCCAAUGGAAGAGUGUCAUUUUGUUUGACACCAUUCAUGUAUUUUUGUACAGAUACGGUAUUUCUUCUUCACUUCUUUAGCAGCUGCUCUACAACAUUGCUUUCUCUGGAAAUUAUUAGUGCCAGACUG
ensembl:lncRNA